AACGCACCUUGCGCCUCUUGGUAUUCCGAGAGGCAUGCCUGUUUGAGUGUCAUGAAAUAUCAAUCCCCUCGGGUUUUUUGACCUGGGGUGGACUUGGACUUGGGUGUCUGCCUCACAAGGCUCACCUCAAAUAACUUAGUGGGAACUUCUUGACCUACGCCUGACGUAAUAAGUUUCGUCUCGGCUGGUCCUGAGGCCCGCUCACAACACCCCAUACUUUUAACAUUGACCUCAAAUCAGGUAGGGCUACCCGCUGAACUUAA
rnacentral:misc_RNA from 1 species